rnacentral:rRNA from 1 species
UACGUAGGGGGCUAGCGUUGUCCGGAUUUAUUGGGCGUAAAGAGCGUGUAGGCGGCCAGGUAGGUCUGCUGUGAAAACUCGAGGCUCAACCUCGAGCUGUCGGCGGAAACCAUCUGGCUAGAGUCCGGAAGAGGAGAGUGGAAUUCCUGGUGUAGCGGUGAAAUGCGCAGAUAUCGGGAGGAACACCUGUGGCGAAAGCGGCGCACUGGACCACAACUGACGCUGAGGCGCGAAAGCUAGGGGAGCAAACAGG